GGCGAACGCUGGCGGCGUGCUUAACACAUGCAAGUCGAACGGAAAGGCCUGCUUUCCCUUGUGGAUUGCGGGUACUCGAGUGGCGAACGGGUGAGUAACACGUGAGUGAUCUGCCCCCAACUUGGGUAUAAGCCUGGGAAACUGGGUCUAAUUCCCGAUAGGACUGCAGGGUGGUGCCUGUGGUGGAAAACGAUUUUCUAGUGGUUGGGGAUGAGCUCGCGGCCUAUCAGCUUGUUGGUGGGGUAAUGGCCUACCAAGGCGGCGACGGGUAGCCGGCCUGAGAGGGUGGACGGCCACAUUGGGACUGAGAUACGGCCCAGACUCCUACGGGAGGCAGCAGUGGGGAAUAUUGCACAAUGGGCGGAAGCCUGAUGCAGCGACGCCGCGGGGGGGAUGACGGCCUUCGGGUUGUAAACUCCUUUCGACCGCGAGGAAGCCACCUGGUUGGAAGGGUGGUGACGGUAGUGGUAGAAGAAGCACCGGCUAACCACGUG
rnacentral:rRNA from 1 species